rnacentral:rRNA from 1 species
UACGUAGGGUGCGAGCGUUGUCCGGAAUUAUUGGGCGUAAAGGGCUCGUAGGUGGCUUGUCACGUCGGGUGUGAAAGCUUGGGGCUUAACUCCAGGUCUGCAUUCGAUACGGGCUGGCUAGAGGUAGGUAGGGGAGACUGGAAUUCCUGGUGUAGCGGUGAAAUGCGCAGAUAUCAGGAGGAACACCGAUGGCGAAGGCAGGUCUCUGGGCCACUACUGACGCUGAGAAGCGAAAGCAUGGGGAGCGAACAGG